AUGAAAAUAAUUCCAGCACAUUUUAAAAUAACUACUGGACACUUGGAUGUAGGAGACAGUCAGACAGAGUAUAUUAAUAUUACAUUCAAUAUUAAAUCUUGCUGUUACAUGAUAGUUGUUGCAGUUGUUGUUUCUUGUAUUGGUUCAUCAGGGUACCAGUAUCCAAGUUCAUAUUCUUCUUCAUUAUCUGAUAGUGUGGUUACAUCAUUCCUGUAUGCUGUUUCUUCCACUGAUACUGACAUUAUCUCCUGCACUACUAGAGGAGCUGCUAUUGCUCUUGCUAGUAAUCCAAUAAUGAUGAGAUGCAAUAGAAUGAAACUUAGUAGAAUUAUUCCUAUCAUCACACUGCAGCAGACCAAAUUAAUGAGGCAGACUGAGCACUACAGACUGUGCUGUAGUGUUUUUGUAGUGCAUCUUACAUGGCUUGAAUUAUAUUUAUAGUUAUUAAUUUUGACCGAGUCACAUUAGUAGACCAGUAGUAUGAGUUGUCAUAACUGUUUCUAUACAUGGAUAUAAGUGUAAUCAACCACGACCUAUGAUAAGGCUGACCGCCGAAGCGAGACCGUAAGUUACCUAUUCCUGUAAUGCAACUCAGCAUAGCAGGGGCGUAUGUAGGAAUUGAGGAAGGGGGGGGGCCGUCCCUAAAAAAACGGACCGGACCGGACCAUGGUCGGCGACAAAUCUGUUUUACGGACCCGAAUAGUCCGCGACAUCUCUAUUUUACGGACCACUUCGCUCACCAUACCUGUAAUCUUACAGAUGCUAAAAAUUAUAGCUAAUGCUUAGGUCAAGAUUUACUCUUGCUGAAAUCCAGCUUCUCGGUUAGAUAUAAGCCCAAACCUUCAGAUAUUGUGAAUUUAACAAAUUUAUUCAUGAAGCAACUGUAUACAGCCUGAGCCUGGUACUGCGGAGUACUGAACUUGGAUGUUGUGCAGUGACUAGUCUACAAAUGGUUUAAAUAUCUCUUACUUAUUUGUGUCACUGUACAGCUUAAUGUGGCAAGCAAAUCUUGUUCUGAAUUCAGUGGAAAAACGGCCCAAAUUAGAUAUGUAAUAAUAAUUGCAAAAACUUGUCAAUGACCACAUAUGUUGGUAUAAUUAUUGUGGUUGAUCAUUUUAUGCAUGAAUAACUUUAAAAAUUUAAGUCUAUACUUGAUAACAUAACAUGCAGUGUAUGUGAAAUGUAUGCAUGCAAUAAAGAUGAAUACCACUGAAAUAUGGCCCAGAUAUUUGUAAUGAUUAUAUUCAAGAAUUUACAUGCACCUUUAAUUCAUAAUAAUUAUUCAGAAUUUUAAAUAACAAUAACACAAAAACUUUGGUACUUAUAUCUAUCACUGCAUAAGUGAACUACACAAUCAAAAGAUAUUACAAGUGUUCAUGCAGUUAAUUGGUAUAAUCUGUACUGUCAAUACUAAUCACUCAAGAUCUCCAGCCUCUGACAUUAUACUACUGAGUGAUACCACUGUGCUGUAUUUUUUUGUAAACUUCUGUUUAGACUGUAGUUAAGCUUACUCCGAGGCUUGGUAUUAUUCACUAGCUUAUUCUCACUAACAUCAUUGCUAUAAAGAUUAUUAAAAUUUUUGCUACAUAAUAUCAAGAGUAUAUAAUGGAGGAGGAGAGUGUCUUACUUGCCUAUACUGCAUUGAUGCAUGAGCGCGUAUCAGCUGAAUGUCACAAUCCGUUUUACCUCUGUAUACUAUUUCUAUGAAUUUCAUGAAUAAAUUAUUAGUCAUCUGACUUGGGCGUGUUUUCACGUGUUGAUUAUUAAUAAUGGCAGAUGCUGUGUGUGCCUUCUCUGACUCCACUUAGAUUGCUUCUACCUCAGCAUCUUCCUUGGAUGCAAUUAGAGAAUGCUUUGAGAAGGAAGAAGGUUAUGUUGUUACAGCCAGUACUUCGUAGUCCAUCUCUAAUCAUACACAUCUGCACAUGCUAGUCGACAUGCUACCACCAUAGAUAUUAGAGUAAAUGAAAGGGAUUGGAAACUUCCGUUCGCGGCAGGAAAUGCUAGUUACCCAUACCAUGAUAAUUUCUCUAUUUAUAGGAAUUUUUUCAAUUUUACAAUAGGAUUUAUUAAGAAAAUUAUCAAACAUUAUGGAAUAGUACAACUUCAUAAUGGUUUUUCUCAAAUUGUGUUUAUGUCACAUACAUUAAAGUAUGUGCGUGCCCUCAAGUGUACACCAAGCUUUGCUUUCAUAUCACAUUUAAAUGUGCCAAUCAUUGAACUGUAAAGAAAAAGGUACAAAACGAAGGUCUUUGCAAAAACUUUGAAUUGAUUAUAAAUCAGUCACCAAAUCUGUCAUCGGAGUCAUUUAUGUUGC